rnacentral:lncRNA from 1 species
CUCAUUAGCCAUGAUUUUCUUGAGCUCAGCCCCUGUAAACUCACCAUUUCCAAACUCCAAACUAAACGUAUUUGUAUUUGAAUUUGAGUCGAUUGAAUUAUUUGGGGAUAAUUGACCAAUAUGCCCUCCAGGAGAAGGAGGAAGCUUAGGUGAUUCAUCAGCAAAGUUCAUCCUCCCCAUAAAACUAUCCAUUGACACACUUCUAUAAUGCCUUGUUGUUGGAGCAAUGUCUCCACCUGCACUCCGUUUAAUCCCUUUAUCAUUAACACUACUUGUAGCUUCAUUAUCACUGCUAUCACCUCCAUUUGUUUUUGUUCCACUAGCUCGACUAUCUAAAUCUUCACGAUUCUCAGUUCCUUGUUUAUCGUCAGUUCCAGAAGAGUUUAAUGUGUCAAGAUUUUCAAGAUUCAUAUAAGCAGAAAACAAAUCGUCAACAACUUCCCCUUCGGAGGCUCUUUUAGUUGCUCAGGUAUGCCAGCUUUAUCCCAAUGCAAUACCUAGUAUGCUAGUUUCCUGUUUUUUCAGAGUCUAUACCAANACGCAUUUUCCUCUCUUUUGAUCUUGCAGCAGAUUGUCGAUUUGCCAAAAUCCUAAAACACAUCACGAAAAAAAAUAUUUGUUUAUUCAAAUAUCAAAAUAAAUAUUCAGAUUUCUCCAAUUCUAAUGUAAAUAUUACUGGAAAAAAAAGUAUAACAAAACUGUAGACCAAAUAGUCUAUAGAGUUAAUGCAACAAGGUUUCACUUUUUUUUUUUUUUUACAAAUUAACAGAAUUUGAAAAAAGCUACAUACCUUUUGGCUCGUUUGGGAUCAGAUAAAGCAAUCUCUGCAAGUUUCUCAUUAGCCAUGAUUUUCUUGAGCUCAGCNUCAUUAGCAUGAUUUUCUUGAGCUCAGCCCCUGUAAACUCACCAUUUCCAAACUCCAAACUAAACGUAUUUGUAUUUGAAUUUGAGUCGAUUGAAUUAUUUGGGGAUAAUUGACCAAUAUGCCCUCCAGGAGAAGGAGGAAGCUUAGGUGAUUCAUCAGCAAAGUUCAUCCUCCCCAUAAAACUAUCCAUUGACACACUUCUAUAAUGCCUUGUUGUUGGAGCAAUGUCUCCACCUGCACUUCUUUUAAUCCCUUUAUCAUUAACACUACUUGUAGCUUCAUUAUCACUGCUAUCACCUCCAUUUGUUUUUGUUCCACUAGCUCGACUAUCUAAAUCUUCACGAUUCUCAGUUCCUUGUUUAUCGUCAGUUCCAGAAGAGUUUAAUGUGUCGAGAUUUUCAAGAUUCAUAUAAGCAGAAAACAAAUCGUCAACAACUUCCCCUUCGGAUUUUCUUUCUCCCAUUCCUUCUGCAUUACCCUCGCCUCCACUUUUUUCCCAGCUUGAUUCGCGUUUCACUAACUGGAUUGGCUUUGACGCUUGAUUGUUUGAAGAUGUAACCCUGUCUAAAGUGUUGGGAGUUCUUAACGGAAUCAAUGGUGGAGAGGAUUGUAAGAUUGUUGAGAAUCCAAAUGGGAUAUCACUGUUGGAACGUCUGUGUGCUUUCCGUGGUGGAAGAUUCUCCGUUCGAGUAGAAUUGCCGGAAUUGCUCCUUGCGAAAGGUGAAGAAGGAGGUAAUAAAGAGUGUGCAUUUGCGUCACGAUCUUCCAUGGAAACAUCGGUUAUGACCUGAUCGGAGGAGCGUGCUGAAGGGGAAUCGCGAUAUGGGGAUGGACUCAAAGGAGGAAGAGAAUCGAGGGGGAAGAAAGAAGGCUGUGAUAAUGAUCGUGAAUGCGAUGGCCCUGGGCUGUGAUUGCUAUGAUUGAAACUCUGUGAACCCCCGAUUUUAUGAGUAUUCCCGGAGCUCUGGGUCACCGGAAUCUGUGAGUAAGGGGAUACCGGAGGAAACUGCGGGUGAGACGGCGGGAUUCCGACUCUUUUACUGCUGUUAUCAAGGUUAUAAUUUGGGGAAAACUGUCGAGUUUGACCACGAAACUGUGCUGUGUUCAACUGCGGUAUAUCAAGUUGAUUAAAAUUGACAGGCUUUUGUUGUUGUUGUUUAGGAACCGAUGAUGACGAAGUUCCGAAGGAAGAUUGUACUCUUUGGAUCAUAUCACUGUUUCCUUCCUCAGUAUCCCCCAUUUCUUUACAAUUUCCCGGAUUCUCACCCAAAAACCCCACCACUGCUCAAUCGAUCAGAAUAAUUUAAAAACCCUAGACACACUUUUCAGCCCAAUCCCUCAGAAAUGGUGAAACAAUAGAAACAAAAACCUAGUACACACAACAAAAAUGAAAUGAAGGACCCAAUUCGAAACAUCACCGACCAAGUUCAAACCCUAAUCCAAAAAAACCAAAACCCAACAUAAUUCAAAAAGAAACAAAGAGUUUACCGACAAAUUUCGGUGAGAAGGGGUUGUUGUAAGGUCCGGCGAAUGGUGACGACGAAGUUGGGGUUUUCUCUCUCUAGAAAGUCCAGAAAUUUCUCACACCAAAGUUAAUAAUUGUUGUAUGUUGUAUAUAUCGAUGACGAUGACUUGUACACGGAUUUCAU